GACGAACGCUGGCGGCGUGGAUUAGGCAUGCAAGUCGAACGGUAGGAUACCUUCGGGUAUCUGAGAGUGGCGAACGGGUGAGUAACACGUAGGUGAUCUACCCUCAAGAUUGGGACAACCCAGGGAAACUUGGGCUAAUACCGGAUGAAAGCAGCAGUGAUGUUGUUUGAAAGGUGGCGUAAGCUGCCGUUUGGGGAUGAGCCUGCGCUCUAUUAGUUAGUUGGCGGGGUAAAGGCCCACCAAGGCGAUGAUAGAUAGGCGGCCUUAACGGGUGGUCGCCCACACUGGGAUUGAGAUACGGCCCAGACUCCUACGGGAGGCAGCAGUCGAGAAUAGUCUACAAUGGCCGAAAGGCUGAUAGUGCGACGCCGCGUGAACGAAGAAGCCCUUCGGGGUUAAAGUUCUUUUAUAUGUGAGCAGUGCUUUCUAUGUGAACAGCAUGGGGAGAGAGAUAUUAGCAUAUGAAUAAGCAACGGCUAACUCCGUGCC
rnacentral:rRNA from 1 species